GCUUUAGGGCUAGCGUCGGAAAAUGUGAGUAGUGGAGGUAGAGCACUGAAUAGGCUAGGGGGCAUAGCGCUUACCGAACCUUAUCAAACUCCGAAUGCCACAUACUAUCAGUCCGGCAGUCAGACUAUGAAAGAUAAGUUCCAUGGUCAAAAGGGAAACAGCCCAGAUCGUCAGCUAAGGUCCCAAAGUGUAAGUUAAGUGGAAAAGGAUGUGGGAUUUCUAAGACAACUAGGAUGUUGGCUUAGAAGCAGCCACUCAUUAAAAGAGUGCGUAAUAGCUCACUAGUCAAGAGAUCCUGCGCCGAAAAUGUCCGGGGCUCAAACUUACCACCGAAGCUACGGGUUUACACAUUAGUGUAAGCGGUAGAGGAGCGUCGUAA
rnacentral:rRNA from 1 species